rnacentral:rRNA from 1 species
GACAGGUGGUGCAUGGUUGUCGUCAGCUCGUGUCGUGAGAUGUUGGGUUAAGUCCCGCAACGAGCGCAACCCUUAAGCUUAGUUGCCAUCAUUAAGUUGGGCACUCUAAGUUGACUGCCGGUGACAAACCGGAGGAAGGUGGGGAUGACGUCAAAUCAUCAUGCCCCUUAUGAUUUGGGCUACACACGUGCUACAAUGGACAAUACAAAGGGCAGCGAAACCGCGAGGUCAAGCAAAUCCCAUAAAGUUGUUCUCAGUUCGGAUUGUAGUCUGCAACUCGACUACAUGAAGCUGGAAUCGCUAGUAAUCGUAGAUCAGCAUGCUACGGUGAAUACGUUCCCGGGUCUUGUACACACCGCCCGUCACA